GUCUUUUCUGUGUAUGUGCCGGUCUUUAAGCAUAAAUGUAAAUAUAUAAAAUAUACUAAUAAUGCAUAUAGUCUCUGGUUAUCGGUGAUACUUCCCAUUCUGCACAAUUGUGACCUUUGACCCCUUGCACGUGGUCUUAAAUGUCCACAUUCUGGAUGACAUCCUGCCAGACUUUGUUGGUAUUUCACUGUUUGAUCUAGCAUGUGACUGUUUUCCCCCCCAGCACUUGUCCCAUGUUAGCUGGCCCACUAUGCAGUUAAAUGGAAAGGUUUUUCCCCCAGCACUUGUCCCAUGUUGGCUGGCCCACUAUGCAGUUAAAUGGAAAGGUUUCU
rnacentral:lncRNA from 1 species